GGUUGAUCCUGCCAGACAUAUAUGCUUGUUUAAAGGACUAAGCCAUGCAAAUCUAAGUAUAAGUAACACGUACGUACAAGACUGUGAACAGCUUAUUAUAAAAGUUAUAAUUUAUUUGAACGUGGAAACUUAAAACAGUUUCAAAAUUCUAUGUGGAUAACUGUAGUAAAACUAGAGAUAAUACAUGCAAAUAGAGGAGACUAAAGUAAUUUUGGAAUCCUUGCAUUAACUGGAUUAUUAAAGGAUGUCAAACUUUUGAUGAAACACAGUUCACUAAAUAGCAGAGUGAGUAA
rnacentral:rRNA from 1 species